rnacentral:rRNA from 1 species
UACGUAGGGCGCAAGCGUUGUCCGGAAUUAUUGGGCGUAAAGAGCUCGUAGGCGGUUUGUCGCGUCUGGUGUGAAAUCCCGAGGCUCAACCUCGGGUCUGCAGUCGAUACGAGCAAACUAGAGUGUUGCAGGGGAGACUGGAAUUCCUGGUGUAGCGGUGAAAUGCGCAGAUAUCAGGAGGAACACCGGUGGCGAAGGCGGGUCUCUGGGCAACAACUGACGCUGAGGAGCGAAAGCGUGGGGAGCGAACAGG